GUCCGAGGUGGAAGCGUGGCGACACGUGGAGCUGACGGAUACUAAUCGAUCGAGGACUUAACCAAG
rnacentral:rRNA from 1 species